rnacentral:rRNA from 1 species
GUCAGUAGCCGGUCUGAGAGGAUGAACGGCCACAUUGGGACUGAGACACGGCCCAGACUCCUACGGGAGGCAGCAGUGGGGAAUCUUCCGCAAUGGACGAAAGUCUGACGGAGCAACGCCGCGUGAGUGAAGAAGGUAUUCGGAUUGUAAAGCUCUGUUAUACGGGACGAAAAAGACGGAUGCCAACAGUAUCCGUCCGUGACGGUACCGUAAGAGAAAGCCACGGCUAACUACGUGCCAGCAGCCGCGGUAAAU